AUUGAACGCUGGCGGCAUGCCUUACACAUGCAAGUCGAACGGUAACAGGUUAAGCUGACGAGUGGCGAACGGGUGAGUAAUAUAUCGGAACGUGCCCAGUCGUGGGGGAUAACGUAGCGAAAGCUACGCUAAUACCGCAUACGAUCUACGGAUGAAAGCGGGGGAUCGCAAGACCUCGCGCGAUUGGAGCGGCCGAUAUCAGAUUAGGUUGUUGGUGAGGUAGAAGCUCACCAAGCCUGCGAUCUGUAGCUGGUCUGAGAGGACGACCAGCCACACUGGAACUGAGACACGGUCCAGACUCCUACGGGAGGCAGCAGUGGGGAAUUUUGGACAAUGGACGCAAGUCUGAUCCAGCAAUGCCGCGUGCAGGACGAAGGCCUUCGGGUUGUAAACUGCUUUUGUACGGAACGAAACGGUGAGCUCUAAUACAGUUUGCUAAUGACGGUACCGUAAGAAUAAGCACCGGCUAACUACGUGCCAGCCGCCGCAGUAACAC
rnacentral:rRNA from 1 species